rnacentral:tRNA from 2 species
GGGCGAAUAGCUCAGUUGGUUCAGAGCAUCUGCCUUACAAGCAGAGGGUCGGGGGUUCGAAUCCCUCUUCGCCCACAA